rnacentral:rRNA from 1 species
AUUGAACGCUGGCGGCAGGCUUAACACAUGCAAGUCGAGCGAGCGGCGGACGGGUGAGUAAUGUCUGGGAAACUGCCUGAUGGAGGGGGAUAACUACUGGAAACGAUCGCUAAUACCGCAUACCAUCAGAUGUGCCCAGAUGGGAUUAGCUAGUAGGUGGGGUAAUGGCUCACCUAGGCGACGAUCCCUAGCUGGUCUGAGAGGCUGACCAGCCAAACUGGAACGUAGACACGGGCCAGACGCCUACGGGAGGCAGCAGGGGGGAAUAGUGCACAAUGGGCGCAAGCCUGAUGCAGCCAUGCCGAGUGUGUGAAGAAGGCCUUCGGGUUGUAAAGCACUUUCAGCGAGGAGGCGUUACUCGCAGAAGAAGCACCGGCUAACUCCGUGCCAGCCGCCGCGGUAAUAC